AAUAGAUACCCAGGUAGUCCACCCCGUAAACGUUGGGAACUAGUUGUGGGGUCCUUUCCACGGAUUCCGUGACGCAGCUAACGCAUUAAGUUCCCCGCCUGGGGAGUACGGCCGCAAGGCUAAAACUCAAAGGAAUUGACGGGGACCCGCACAAGCGGCGGAGCAUGCGGAUUAAUUCGAUGCAACGCGAAGAACCUUACCAAGGCUUGACAUACACCAGAACACCCUAGAAAUAGGGGACUCUUUGGACACUGGUGAACAGGUGGUGCAUGGUUGUCGUCAGCUCGUGUCGUGAGAUGUUGGGUUAAGUCCCGCAACGAGCGCAACCCUCGUUCUAUGUUGCCAGCACGUAAUGGUGGGAACUCAUGGGAUACUGCCGGGGUCAACUCGGAGGAAGGUAGGGAUGACGUCAAAUCAUCAUGCCCCUUAUGUCUUGGGCUUCACGCAUGCUACAAUGGCCGGUACAAAGGGCUGCAAUACCGUGAGGUGGAGCGAAUCCCAAAAAGCCGGUCCCAGUUCGGAUUGAGGUCUGCAACUCGA
rnacentral:rRNA from 1 species